rnacentral:rRNA from 1 species
AGUGAACGCUGGCGGUAGGCCUAACACAUGCAAGUCGAACGGCAGCACAGUAAGAGCUUGCUCUUACGGGUGGCGAGUGGCGGACGGGUGAGGAAUACAUCGGAAUCUACUUUUUCGUGGGGGAUAACGUAGGGAAACUUACGCUAAUACCGCAUACGACCUACGGGUGAAAGCAGGGGAUCUUCGGACCUUGCGCGAUUGAAUGAGCCGAUGUCGGAUUAGCUAGUUGGCGGGGUAAAGGCCCACCAAGGCGACGAUCCGUAGCUGGUCUGAGAGGAUGAACCGGCACAAAUGAAACGAAGACCGGGCCAAAACCCCUAGGGGGGGCACAGGGGGGAAAUUUGGGAAAAGGGGGGAAACCUUGCGCAGCCAAUCCCGGGGGGGGAAAGAAGGCUUUCGGGUUGAAAACCCUUUUUUUGGGGAAAAAAAAGCAGCAGGUUAACACCCCGCUUUUUGGCGGGACCCAAAAAAAAAACCACGGGUAAAUUUGUG